UACGGGGGGGGCAAGCGUUGUUCGGAAUUACUGGGCGUAAAGGGCUCGUAGGUGGCCAACUAAGUCAGACGUGAAAUCCCUCGGCUUAACCGGGGAACUGCGUCUGAUACUGGAUGGCUUGAGUUUGGGAGAGGGAUGCGGAAUUCCAGGUGUAGCGGUGAAAUGCGUAGUUAUCUGGAGGAACACCGGUGGCGAAGGCGGCAUCCUGGACCAACACUGACACUGAGGAGCGAAAGCCAGGGGAGCAAACGGG
rnacentral:rRNA from 1 species